ACGGGUGAGUAACGCGUGGGAAUCUGCCCUGUGGUACGGAAUAACAUCGGGAAACUGGUGCUAAUACCGUAUAUCCCCUGAGGGGGAAAGAUUUAUCGCCAUGGGAGGAGCCCGCGUAGGAUUAGCUAGUUGGUGAGGUAACGGCUCACCAAGGCGACGAUCCUUAUCUGGUCUGAGAGGAUGAUCAGCCACACUGGGACUGAGAUACGGCCCACACUCCUACGGGAGGCAGCAGUGGGGAAUAUUGGACAAUGGGGGAAACCCUGAUCCAGCCGUGCCGCGUGUGUGAUGAAGGCCUUCGGGUUGUAAAGCACUUUCACACGUGACGAUAAUGACUGUAACGUGAGAAGAACCCCCGGCUAACUUCGUGCCAGCAGCCGCGGUAAUACGAAGGGGGCAAGCGUUGUUCGGAAUUACUGGGCGUAAAGGGCGCGUAUGCGGUGCACUAAGUCAGGCGUGAAAGCCCUGGGCUCAACCCCGGAAUUGCGUUUGAUACUGGUGCGCUUGAAUCCCGGACAGGUUGGUGGAAUUCCCUCU
rnacentral:rRNA from 1 species